rnacentral:tRNA from 1 species
GGCCAAGUGGCGGAAUGGCAGACGCGCUGGACUCAAAAUCCAGUGUCCGCGAGGGCGUGUGGGUUCGAGUCCCACCUUGGCCA